GGAGGGAUGUGCGGGCGGGCUAGGAUUCCGUGGUUAAGCCUGUGGCCUCUGGAGCCGCGAGUUUGAAUCCUGGUUGCAGCUGUUCCACUUACUAGCUCUGUGGCCAUGGGUAAGGUGCCCAUCCUCAGUUUCUCCGUCUGCAAAAUGAAAGCGAAUUCUUAGUGUUGUUGUGGACUCAUGAGAUGAUGCAUGGAAGCAAGGGCGAAGUCGCUGUAGCUUUCUUUAUUUAUGAGAGAAAAGGAGCUGCCCAGGUGAGAGGACAAAAACCCGAGAAAACAGACCCGGAAAAGAUGGUUUUGGUUGCGGGCUAGGAAGGAGAUGUAGCAGAUGAAGCUGGAGAAGUCCGAAGGAGGCCUUAAAUUUUGCAGGGCCUCCUUGGUGUGGGAAGGAGUUUGGUUUCUGCAGUGGUGAAGAACCAUGGAAGUACCGUAUUUAGCAGGGGAUUUUGUGCAGGUCACUCAGCUCCUGCGUGGAGAAUAAGGCGGGGAUGGAUGUGCUAAAGGCAGAUCGAUGCUUAGGUAUUGCAGGACUAGAGAGAAGGGAAUGGGCACCUGGAUGAAAGGGUGAUGCGGGGGCGGGGGUAGACAAUAGUGGAUUGUUUUAAAAGAAAUUGUGAGGGAGAGGGAGUUAAGGAUAAAUAUUCUGUUUGAGUAACUGCAUGCAUGUUUGCACCUUUCAGGGAGAGCUAGGAAAUGCUGAAGGGGUGGGCAGUAGAGAGGCAGAUGUUUAGAUUCAGACAGGCUCCCAACCCAGUGAAGAUCAAAGCUGUGAUAGAAAGGAUCGCUGGGUCAGCUCAGCUGGCAGGCCAAGCCCCACGGUAUCUGAAGUUUCCCUGGAGGUUGCUCAGGGCACAUGGGAGUGUGGAAUGUAGCAACCAUUUUGUGCAAACGUUAGGGACUCCAUAAGCCUCUAAAAAAUUAGCAAUUGUAUGAGGACUCCGGACCAGAAGAAUGUGGCUAGCAUUCCAGGCAAGACAGGAUGGAAUUUUCACUGUCCUUCAACCAACUGAAAGGCUCCAAUAAAGUCUUGGGUAUUUACCCUGAACCAGCCAAGGCUUUGGAGUCACUGGCAGGAAUCCGAGUAUCUAACUGUUUUCAGGGCAGAAUAGAUGGGGAGGGUACGGCUGUGGAAGACACAUGCAUUUCCACUUUCUUCUGUAAAUGCAGCUCAGUGUUCCCGGAUGCAAUGAUAAAGAUGUCUAGGAUUUGCUUCAAAACAAAACAAAGGGAUGGGGAAGCAGAUGGGAGUGUAGAUGAGUCAAAAGUGGCCG
rnacentral:lncRNA from 10 species